AUUGAACGCUAGCGGGAUGCUUUACACAUGCAAGUCGAGCGAGCGGCGGACGGGUGAGUAAUGUAUGGGGACUGCCCGCUAGAGGGGGAUAACUACUGGAAACGGUAGCUAAUACCGCAGACUAUCGGAUAACCCAUAUGGGAUUAGCUAGUAGGUGAGGUAAUGGCUCACCUAGGCGACGAUCCCUAGCUGGUCUGAGAGGAUGAUCAGCCACAUUGGGACUGAGACACGGCCGACACUCCUACGGAGGCAGCAGUGGGGAUGAUUGCACAAUGGGCGCAGUCCUGCUACAGCCAUGCCGCGUGUAUGAAGAAGGCCCUAGGUUUGUAAAGUACUUUCAGUCGGGAGGCGUUACCGACAGAAGAAGCACCGGCUAACUCCGUGCCAGCAGCCGCGGUAAUAC
rnacentral:rRNA from 1 species